UUUUAGUUUUGGAAAUUUGGUUGUUUAGAUAAAUAAGAAGUGUUUGUUAUAUUUGAACAUGAUGGAUUUUAUAAAUCUUGCACUGGUUGUAAUUCUCCCCUUCUGGGCCAGUUUUUUGUUUGUUUGUUUGUUUUGUUUGUUUUUAUCAGCACUUUAGCUGAAAACCGCCUCUAUUCUAUAAAUAAUGUGACCUAAGUUGGUCUCUGCUUCCCUGUACUCUGUAGUAUACUUAGUAUAUGUAGCACAUCUCUUCUUUCUCAAUGUUCACAUCUCAUGAUGAACAAGACUUCUGAAAUGAUCUUGCAGCACUGGACAUCAACAUUGCUGAACUCCAGAAGAUGCUAACUAGUCAGUAUCAUUACCUUCUAUGGAAACAGCACAUUUUAACUCUUAGAAAGCCGGGUGUUGUGCUAUCACUGAUGCUUCAUACAAGUCAUCUGACUGGUGUCAUUGUAUUUAGUACUUGGGCAGGUUUAAGCAUUGAAGAGUGUUUUGCCAGUCCUAGAACUUCUUCCUGCUGGUUUUUAAGUGUUGGGGCUACAACUUCCGAAGAACCCAGGUAGUCUCUUUGACAUGUUCAGAUUUUGCAGAAAGAGUUUCUUAACUCUAAAAAUACUAAAUGAAUUCUAAGCUAUUUUCACAGAAUUGCCUGUUAAUGUUUUUGAUUUUUCUUACUUCCAGUCCUCAUAAAUUAAUUCCUUGGUUUAUGUGGAGGUAAUAGGUUGCAACUACAUUUCAGAAAUAUAAAAUAAAGCAAGUAAGAAAAUUAUGUCAUUUGUCUAUUCCCAUAUAUGGGAAUUAUUAUUCAUAAGCACAAGUUUGAUUCUUAAGAUUGUUUAAUGAUAAUCUAAGAUCAUCCUCUUUUGCCUGUAAUAUAGGAUAGGCAUCCUUACGUGCAAAGAAAAACUUUAAACAUUUAUAGGAGUUAAUAGUUUGAUUGAAGAACAAAUGAGACUAGAAAAUCCUUGAGGGACCUUUACCAGAAAUUUACUGUUUAUUUGAUGUAAGAGGUACACAUGGCAUAGAAACAUGAAAGAAUUGAAUUUGAAGAUGAAAUGUGACCCUAGAAAAAUAGAUGGGAUAGACAGUUUCCUAGAAGUUUAGAGUAGAAAGAAGCCCAAUGAUGAUAGAGAAAGACCCAGAAGAGAAGAAACUUCAUUUGGAUCUUUUUUUUUUUUGCUUUUUUUUUAGGGCUGCACCCAUGGCAUAUGGAUGUUCCCAGGCUAGGAGUCAAAUCAGAGCUAUAGCUGCUGGCCUACACCACAGCCACAGCAAUGUGGGGUCUGAGCCGAAUCUGUGACCUACACUUCAGCUCAUGGCAAUGCCGGAUCCCCCACCCACUGAGUAAGGCCAGGGAUAGAACCCACAUCCUCAUGGAUACUAGUUGGAUUCAUUUCCACUGAGCCCCAAUGGGAAUUCCCUCAUUUGGAUCUUAAAGUAUGUAUAAGAUUUGAAUAAUCCUGUAAAUAUCCUCAAAAUGUUAAUCCCAUAGAAAGGUGAGUAUCAUCAAAACAUGGGGGUUGUGGUCUAGUAAGAGGAUGAUAGGUACACCAGCCUGACUAAAAUAGAAGGGUUGAGGUUACUAUAUGAUAAUGGUAAUAGAUGAUAAUACAGUAUACAAGAACUGAGGUCAGAUUAUUGAAUGUCUUGAGCUCCAGGCAGAGGAGUAACCAUUACAUCUUAUGAAAUCUUUGAGUGUAAGGGUAUCCUUGGUGUUUUGUUUUGUUUUAAUUGAGAAUCAUCAGAGGAAACUAGAAAAUUGCAGAGAGUAAUGGUAAAUAAGAAGGAUUAGAGAAGGAAGAGAAGAGAGACCACAUAUGAAGCUGUUGCAGUCGUCUAGACAUAAAUUGAUAAGCUUUUGGCAAUGAAAGUGGAAAAGGAGAGGCAAACGGAAACUUUUUCAAUAGGCUCGACUUAAUAGAAAAUGAAAGAAGGAGAAAUCAAAGAUGACGCCAGAGUUUUUAAUUUGAUCAGUACAAGUCAUACCGAGUGCUGUCUAAAAUGAAAAAUCAAGUUCUUCAUUAAGUUCAAAGUGAACAAAUUCCAAUUUAAGUCUUGAUAAUGGUAGUGAUGAUGGGGAGUAGGCUAAAAAGGAGAGAAGAGUGCCCAUUCUCAGUAAUUUGCUUUAGGAGUUGUUACAGCCCCAUCAUAGUCUCAGAAGUGUCAUUCUAGUCCCAAAUCCCAGCUCUCUCACAAAGCCUUUUACCAUUUCCCAGAAUGUGAAAAGCAUACAGAGUGUCCCCUUAUCUCCUACAGGAUGAAUUCAGUAUCUCCUGAUAGAUACUGGGUGUAGAAUGGGAAAGAACGAUCCUUUAGCAUGUUGACACUAUUCUGCUGCCCCUUCUUGGAUCUGAAGGGCCGCAUCUGUGGCAUAUGCAAGUUCCCAGGCUAGUGGUCAAGUCAGAGCUGUGUCUGUGACCUACACCACAGCCACAGCAAAACCAGAUCCUUAACCCACUGAGUGAAGUCAUGGAUUGAACCCGCAUCAUCAUGCAUACUAGUCAGGUUUGUAACCCGCUGAGCCACAGUGGGAACUCUCGCUGAAGUUUUAAUUAUAAGAGUAAGAGGCCCCUUUUUAAAAAUUAUUUUUAGGAGUCCAGAACAUAAGCAUACCACUAGUUAAAGUUGGAUUUGACUUGUGAGCUAACACUCCCUUAAUAAUUUUUUCAAAUCUGUUGAUUCAUGAUUUCCUUCUGCUCAGAAUUACUUAAACAAAUGGGUUCUGUGUCUAUAUCACACCUUAUAAUUUGGUGUUUUAGUAUAUGGUGUGUAGAGAACUGGUCACUAUUUUAUUUAAAGCAGUUGGUUUGAGUAGCACCCCCCAUAGAAUAAUUAUCAAAGAUUACAAGAUCUUAGGGACUUCUUAGGGCUUAAAUUGGUUUUGAAAGGACUUUAAAAGUCUUCUAUAUUACUUCUAUACCAAAAGAUGAAAUCUGUUUUAUAGUGAUAACUUCUGCCUGAACCACCCUUUUGCCCAGGCUCCUGACAAAUUCUCACUUAUUCUUCAAACCCACAGUACUACUUCUUUACCUUGUAUAUACCUCUACCAUUGCACGUAUCAGUUUACACAUCAACCCCUCCUACCCUCCCUGUGUGCUUAAAGGCAGGGGACCAGGAUUUAUUCAUCUCUGACACCCCCAUAACACUUGAUGCCUAUCGUAUAGUAGGCAGUUAGUAACUAUUGAUGGACUUAACUAAAUCCCUGACAGAUGGUCAUCUAGGCUUCAAUUAAUUUCCUCCUGGUGUUGACAAGAUCAUGCAACAGUUUGUUUAUAUCUUGCUUAUAUACAUCUCAGCUCCACCCAUUAACCUACCUCCCUGUGGCUUUUAUUCUUUAUACCUAUUAUUAACUUCUGAAGCAGAAUUCACUUGUUUAGCAAAUAUUUGUACACUACUGCUUGUGCUAUGAAAAAGCCACAGAUUCUUAAAUCUUUAGGAGGGGAGAUAGGGCAGAAACUUUUUUUUUUUUUUUUUUAAUGACCAUACCCACAGCAUAUGGAAGUUCCCAGGCUAGGGGUCGAAUCGGAGCUGUAGCUGCCAGCCUACGCCAGAGGCACAGCAACGCAGGAUCCGAGCCGCGUCUGCGACCUACACCACAGCUCACGGCAACUGAGCUCACUGAGCUCAGAUCCUGAACUCACUGAGCGAGGCCAGGGAUCGAACCCGCAACCUCGUGGUUCCUAGUCGGAUUCGUUAACCACUGCGCCACGACGGGAACUCCCAGAAACAUUUUUUUUUUUUAACUCUGUCACCAGUGCAAGGAUAAUUUAUCCUGCCAGCCUACCUCACUGAUUUGUGGGAGGGAUAAAUGUAGGCAAAGCGCUUUGAAAACUGGAGCACAGUGCACAGUCUGUGACUUAUGACAGUAUUUAAAUAGACCUCAUCAUGUGGAGAAAAGGGAACCCUCCUACACUGUUGGUGAGGAUGUAAAUUGGUGCAGCCACUAUGGAAAACAAUAUGCAUGUUCCUGAGAAAACUAAAAAUUGAACUACCGUAUGACCAGCAAUUCCAUGCCUGGGUAAAUAUACGGAAAAACUGAAAACACUAAUUUGAAAAGAUACAUGCUCCCCAGUACUCAUAGCACUAUUUACCAUAACCAAGACACAAGCUUCCUGACAUUUCCAGGACCCCAGCACUAUCUUCUGUUCAGCCAGAGAAUAAGAGGGCUCAUUUUCCAUAGAGAUCUCAAGGAGAUGUGCAGAGGUAUCACAGACUAUCUAGGAGGAAAAUCUGAUUGCCUUUGGAGCUGGAGACUUAAACAUUUGAUCAAAUCUAAAACAAAGAAUGUUGUCCACUGCUCAGUGAGGAGCACAUAGCCAAGGUACAUAUUUUCAUCCCACUAUCCUUUCCAGAUUGGUCUGCACUUGGCUGUGAGCUCUAGGACCAGAAUGGAGUAGGAGACCAGAAGCAAGUAUUUUAAAUCAGCAUCUCCAAAAUAAGCAGAACAGGCCCUUUUGGAGGAUAGUAGUUAGUGGUUUGGCAAGAAGAAAAGAGUAAAGGAAAAAUAAAAUCUUAAAUCCAGAGCCUCAGUGGAUAGGGAGAAAAUUAAUCCUUUUUCUUUUUUUCUUCUUUUUAGGUCAAUACUAUCAGACUUGCUGUAUUAGGAUAGGGAGAUGGAUUGGUGGAAGAUGGGACACAAACUAGAACAAGUCAAUAAAUGAAUAUUUGAGUAAGUAGGUCUUCACCAUUUAGAGCAGUGACCUAUAUGCUACCAUUCCACUCUUCCUGGGCCACAAAGCUAAUGAUGAUUUUUUUUUGCCAGAGACUUGGACUACUUGUCAUCACCUCAUCCCUCCCCCCAUCCCAACUGGUCUAAAAAUCCAUCUGGUCAGAUUUUUAUAAAAAUGGAUGACUUAUGCAUAAAGCAACUCCUCUUGUUCCCUAGCCUACCAGAAAAGGUAUGAGAAUUUAAAUUGUAGUUUUGUAUCUUUAGCCAAAGUUUGAGAAAAGGUCAUGAUAGAUCACUGAUGACUAUAAGAGUCUUGAACAGACAAUGAUAUUUAAGUCUGUGGGAAAGUUCAUCUUAAGAACUGUGACUUAGAAGAGAAUGAGCCGUAGAUUGGGAGUCAAGUGACCAAGUAACUGUCUUCAUAUUCCAUGUGAUCUUCAACCAUUUAUUAUUUAUUAGCUGGUCUACCGUGUGCCUCUGAGCAUUUAAAGACAAGACCAAGUGUGCCUCUGAGGGACCUAGAACCCCAGGACCUGCUAAAUGAGAAAAUACAGUCUCAAAGACUCCCUCCUGCUUAAAAUGCUGCAGUUUCCAAGGAGAAGUUUCCCAACAGCAAAGGCACUAGGCAUGUAGCGCUAAUAGGUACCCAUACCACGUUGGUGUCCUAUAUCAUUUUAGCUUUGGAUUGCUGUUCUUUCUCUUUUAAUACUCAUGUCUUAGGUGCUUUCCAUAUUUAUUUUUCUUCUGGAUAUCACUUUCAAUGAGUAUCUUUGUGUUGUGACUCUGAGGACUUGAAUAUGUUUGUUUCACCUUCACAUUUAAACUAUAGCUUCCAUUGGAUUUCAAUGCGAAGAUGGUAGUGUAAAGUUGUCCUUUCCCCUUUCUUUUGUAGAAAGCAAAACCAACAAGAGGAGUACAAACUCCAUUUGUGGGUAAUACUAGGAGACAACUCUAAAACUAAGCCAUAACUGAGCUAGAAGAACUGUCAAAAGCAGUAAUUAUCAAGCUGGGUUACACAUGAGAGGAAACAGAGAGAGGAUGCUAUGUCUCCAGGUAACAGAAAUAGCGAGCAAAGUACACUUCUCAGUGAUGAACAGCUUAUGCAGAGGGAAAUGAUGUAAAUCCUUAGAUUAUGACAAUAGGAACACUAUCCACUGGCUUUAUGUUGGGAGAAAAAAUGUAGAUGCCAAUUGCCAUGUAGAGAAGUAAGGCUAAACAAAUCACAGCACAAAGCCCAAAAUUAAUGACGAUUCUAACCCUUAUACACAAGCAUUCUAUAAAUAACUGAUCCAGGAAAACCUUCCUUAUCUGCUUCAAAAAACAUUAGUCAUCAAGAAGGACCAGCAGAGGAUCUAGAAUAGCAUAUUU
rnacentral:lncRNA from 1 species